CCCAGUGUUUGCAGAACGUUCCUCCUGAUAACUUGUUAGUUACUGCAUAUGGGAAAUCAGUUGCAGUUGUUCAUCUUGGUUACCGUAUUGAGAGUGAUAUAUGGGUGAUGAAAGAGUAUGGCGUGUUCGAUUCGUGGACCAACUUAGCAAAUAUGUUCAGUGUAAAGACACGAUCAGCUGUAUUCUUCGUAAGGAAGAAUGGACAACUAAUGAUGGAUUCUGGUAUUGGAGAUAUUCUUUCAUUUGAUUUUGCGACCCAGCGCUUACACAAUCUCUUCACGGGUCUGAGCGCACUUUGUCUUUCAUCUGCUUUUACAUAUACGGAGAGCCUAGCCUUACUUGAUAGAGGAAACUUAAUCGUGGAGCCAAAUCAAGCGAGUUGCAGAAUCUAGGAUGGAAGCAUUUUCUAUUCUUAUAUACAAUGUAAACUUGAUGCAGGGGAUGCAACUACCGAACUUGGUUCGAGAAAGAAGCUAUAAUAGGUGGAGAAGGUAAUUUUGUUCAAUUUUUGUGCUUCAUAGCCUCUCACGGAGUGAAUGAUGCAACUAUAAUAGUAGUUUCAGCUGUUUUUUUGACUUUUUUGUAUGCAUAUGUCGAUUUGAAGUCGACUCUAUGUUAUUGGCUUAUACAUUGUUUAACAUGAUGCAGCUGAUGUGUAGUCUUUCAUGGUUUGCUGUUUAUGAUAUUGUUUGUAAACGUAUAUUCUUAUAUUGUCUAUUACAAAUUGAAAUAGGAGUUCAAAUCUCGGUGUCUGCUUUAAUAUUUUCUAAUGAAUGAAGGAAAUUUUAGCUCCGAGUUAUCAUUUAUGUGCUGUUACUAAUUUGCUACUGAUGAUGUAAUUAGCAAAUGCAUAGUUAUAUGCUGAGGUUGGGCUAGUUUGACUGUAUGGUUCUUGGCAGUGUUUCAAAACCGGAAUAGACAGGCACAUUCGACCGGUUAAACCAGGAACCAGAGUAGUCUAAUAAUAAAAAAAUAUUAGCACAAAUAAAAAAGAAGCCUUUUUUAACAGACUCGGACCAGUUGGUUGAAUUGGUUCGAUAGUCGAACCAUGAAUUCACUGGUGGCCCAUCCGGUUCAAUAUUUAGUGCAUUAGUUAUAGCAUAGUGAUAAAUUCCAAACGUACAUUCUAUAAUUGACAAGAAUGGAAAUUAUAAAUGUCACACCAUAAAUUUUCCGAGAAUUAAUUAAUAAAACAAGGAACAGUCCUACGAAAUAGUUUACUCCAUAAAGUGUUAUGUGUUAACAACAAACUACUAAUAAACUAUCAAAAAGGAAUAUUUUUACAAAAAAAAUAAAAAAUGAGGUAUUUUUAAAAAAAGCCCAAACUAAUUUUAAAUUGUGAAUGAUCAAACUACUUUCUUGUAAAAUUGAUUUAAGAAGAUGUAAGAUAUAAGCUCUUUUUUAAUAAAUAGAUUCGAUUAGCCUAGUUGUUUUUGCUAGCCAAAGCUUCAUCAAUCUCUUCCCGAAUUUGGAGGAAAUGGAGGAAACUAGAUCUGCUUCUGUUUUUACCUACAUGGAGAACCUGGCAUUACUUGAUAGAGGCAACUUCAGAGAUGAAUCAAGCCAGUAGCAGAAUUUAGGAGACUCAACUAAUUAACUUGGUUUAGAUGAUGCUGGGAAAGAAAUGUGCUCAACUUCUGUGCUUCUAGUCUUUCAUGGAGUGAUUGAUUCAAGUAACGCUUUUUCUUACUUGAGUGCAAGCAAAGAGGAUUUCAAUUGAAUUUUCGAGUACUAUCAGCUGUUGUUUUGGCUCUCUUUUUUCAUAUGCUUAUGUCAUUUGAAGUCGACUCUUUGUAAUUUGCUAUUACAUUGCUAAAAUAUGAUGUAGCUGACGUAUAUGUUUUCAUGAAUCGUGGUCCAGAACUUAGGCUAAAUAGUAUUGGUUUUGCUAUAUAUGCUAGUUUGAUUUUCAUA